rnacentral:lncRNA from 1 species
UGAUCAUGUACUUGAACAUGAUAUUCUGAUUUCUGAUCAUGUACUUGAACAUGAUAUUCUGCGUUUCUGAUCAUGUACUUGAACAUGAUAUUCUGCGUUUCUGAUCAUGUACUUGAACAUGAUAUUCUGCGUUCUGAUCAUGUACUUGAACAUGAUAUUCUGCGUUUCUGAUCAUGUACUUGAACAUGAUAUUCUGAACAUGUAUCUAGACAUGUAUCUGAGCAAGCAUAAUCAAACAUGAACUAAAAGCACAUUCAAACAUACAUGAAUAUAACAACAAGCAUAUAAUCCCUCACCUUAA